rnacentral:lncRNA from 1 species
CCAUUCACACUGGUCCGCCAUCGAAUAAUAAACUUUCGCAAGCUAUCAUAGUCUAUUCCACUGGUGACUCAUGGAUAGCAAGCGAUUCCACAUUGCUGAGAUAACUCGGAUUAGCUAGAUGGUCCUUGCUUACAGUACAUCAGCAGAUCGUUGACGUCGUUCCUGCACGAUGUUCGGCCGCAUCCGCCGGCAGCACUGUAAGGUGAUCAUCGCGACGUCGCUAGUCUGGUUCCUCGUCGACGUCGUCCUCAUCAUGUACUUUGCCGACUGCAACACGUCGCAGUGCAAGGCUGGCGGCGGGGGAGGCGGCGGGGACAAUGCGGCAAAGAAGGGGGAGAAGUCUGGCGGGUUCCUGACGAACCUCCUUCCC